rnacentral:rRNA from 1 species
CACGUAGGGCGCAAGCGUUGUCCGGAAUUACUGGGCGUAAAGGGCGCGUAGGCGGCCUGUUAAGUCGAACGUGAAAUCCCCGGGCUCAACCCGGGGACUGCGUCCGAUACUGGCAGGCUUGAAUCCGGGAGAGGGAUGCGGAAUUCCAGGUGUAGCGGUGAAAUGCGUAGAUAUCUGGAGGAACACCGGUGGCGAAGGCGGCAUCCUGGACCAACACUGACACUGAGGAGCGAAAGCCAGGGGAGCAAACGGG